rnacentral:rRNA from 1 species
CGGCGGACGGGUGAGUAACACGUGGAUAACCUACCUAUAAGACUGGGAUAACUUCGGGAAACCGGAGCUAAUACCGGAUAAUAUAUUGAACCGCAUGGUUCAAUAGUGAAAGACGGUUUUGCUGUCACUUAUAGAUGGAUCCGCGCCGCAUUAGCUAGUUGGUAAGGUAACGGCUUACCAAGGCAACGAUGCGUAGCCGACCUGAGAGGGUGAUCGGCCACACUGGAACUGAGACAGGUCCAGACUCCUACGGGAGGCAGCAGGA